rnacentral:rRNA from 3 species
GGACUACAAGGGUAUCUAAUCCCGUUCGCUCCCCUGGCUUUCGCGCCUCAGCGUCAGUAGGGACCCAGCGGGCCGCUUUCGCCACCGGCGUUCCUUCCGAUAUCAACGCAUUUCACCGCUCCACCGGAAGUUCCGCCCGCCCCUAUCCCCCUCCAGUCUUCCUGUUUCCGGGGCCCUUUUCCGGUUGGGCCGAAAGAUUUCACCCCGGACGGGGAAGACCGCCUACGCGCCCUUUAAGCCCAGUGAUUCCGAACAACGUUCGCACGGUUCGUCUUACCGCGGCGGCUGGCAC